rnacentral:hammerhead_ribozyme from 1 species
AUCCAGCUGACGUGUCUCAAACAGGACUAAAUCCCUGUCCUGGAU